AACGAACGCUGGCGGCAGGCUUAACACAUGCAAGUCGAGCGAGACCUUCGGGUCUAGCGGCGGACGGGUGAGUAACGCGUGGGAACGUGCCCUUCUCUACGGAAUAGCCCCGGGAAACUGGGAGUAAUACCGUAUACGCCCUUUGGGGGAAAGAUUUAUCGGAGAAGGAUCGGCCCGCGUUGGAUUAGGUAGUUGGUGGGGUAAUGGCCCACCAAGCCGACGAUCCAUAGCUGGUUUGAGAGGAUGAUCAGCCACACUGGGACUGAGACACGGCCCAGACUCCUACGGGAGGCAGCAGUGGGGAAUCUUAGACAAUGGGGGCAACCCUGAUCUAGCCAUGCCGCGUGAGUGAUGAAGGGCCUUAGGGUUGUAAAGCUCUUUCAAGCUGGGAA
rnacentral:rRNA from 1 species